UACGUAGGGACCAAGCGUUGUCCGGAAUCAUUGGGCGUAAAGCGCGCGUAGGUGGCCAUUUAAGUCCGCUGUGAAAACCAGAAGCUCAACUUCUGGCCUGCAUCCGAUACUGCCCGACUAGAGGUAGGUAGGGGAGAUCGGAAUUCCUGGUGUAGCGGUGAAAUGCGCAGAUAUCAGGAGGAACACCGGUGGCGAAGGCGGAUCUCUGGGCCUUACCUGACGCUCAGGUGCGAAAGCUAGGGGAGCAAACAGG
rnacentral:rRNA from 1 species